GCCGGGUGUAGUGGUGGGCACCUGUAAUCCCAGCUACUUGGGAGGCUGAGGCAGGAGAAUUGCUUGAACCCAGGAGGCGGGGGUUGCAGUGAUCCGAGAUCACGCCACUGCACCCCAACCUGGGCAACAGAGCAAGACUCUGUCGCAA
ensembl:misc_RNA Metazoa_SRP Metazoan signal recognition particle RNA